UACGUAGGGGGCAAGCGUUGUCCGGAAUCAUUGGGCGUAAAGCGCGUGUAGGCGGUUCGAUAAGUCUGCUGUGAAAGUCCAGGGCUCAACCCUGGGAUGCCGGUGGAUACUGUCGGACUAGAGUACGGAAGAGGCGAGUGGAAUUCCCGGUGUAGCGGUGAAAUGCGCAGAUAUCGGGAGGAACACCGGUGGCGAAGGCGGUUCUCUGGGCCUGUACUGGACGCUGAGGAGCGAAAGCGUGGGGAGCGAACAGGAUGAGAU
rnacentral:rRNA from 1 species